rnacentral:rRNA from 1 species
GCUCAGGAUGAACGCUGGCGGCGUGCUUAACACAUGCAAGUCGAGCGGAAAGCCCCUUCGGGGGAAUUCGAGCGGCGAACGGGUGAGUAACACGUGGGGAACUGCCCUUCUCUCUGGGAUAACUCCGGGAAACCGGUGCUAAUACCGGAUACUCCGUCUGGACCGCAUGGUCCGGCCGGGAAAGCUCCGGCGGAGAAGGAUGGCCCCGCGGCCCAUUAGCUAGUUGGUGAGGUAACGGCCCACCAAGGCGACGAUGGGUAGCCGAGCUGAGAGGCUGAUCGGCCACACUGGGACUGAGGCACGGCCCAGACUCCUACGGGAGGCAGCAGUGGGGAAUUUUGCGCAAUGGGCGAAAGCCUGACGCAGCAACGCCGCGUGCGGGAUGAAGGCCUUCGGGUCGUAAACCGCUUUCAGCAGGGACGAAAUUGACUGUACCUGCAGAAGAAGCCCCGGCUAAAUACGUGCCAGCAGCCGCGGUAAUACGUAUGGGGCAAGCGUUAUCCGGAUUUAUUGGGCGUAAAGCGCGCGUAGGCGGAUCGUUAAGUCAGAUGUGAAAUCCGGGGGCUCAACCCGCGGCCUGCAUCUGAAACUGGCGGUCUUGAGUCUGGUAGAGGAAAGUGGAAUUCCUAGUGUAGCGGUGAAAUGCGCAGAUAUUAGGAGGAACACCAGUGGCGAAGGCGGCUUUCUGGGCCACGACUGACGCUGAGGCGCGAAAGCUAGGGGAGCAAACAGGAUUAGAUACCCUGGUAGUCCUAGCCGUAAACGAUGGGCACUAGGUGUGGGGGGUCAUCGACUCCCUCCGUGCCGCAGCUAACGCAUUAA